AUUGAACGCUAGCGGGAUGCUUUACACAUGCGAGUCGAACGGCAGCACGAAAAGAGCUUGCUCUUUUUGGUGGCGAGUGGCGAACGGGUGAGUAAUGUAUCGGAACGUACCCAGUAGCGGGGGAUAACUACGCGAAAGCGUGGCUAAUACCGCAUACGCCCUACGGGGGAAAGGGGGGGAUCGCAAGACCUCUCACUAUUGGAGCGGCCGAUAUCGGAUUAGCUAGUUGGUGGGGUAAAGGCUCACCAAGGCAACGAUCCGUAGCUGGUUUGAGAGGACGACCAGCCACACUGGGACUGAGACACGGCCCAGACUCCUACGGGAGGCAGCAGUGGGGAAUUUUGGACAAUGGGGGAAACCCUGAUCCAGCCAUCCCGCGUGUGCGAUGAAGGCCUUCGGGUUGUAAAGCACUUUUGGCAGGGAAGAAACGGCGCUGACUAAUACUUGGCGCAACUGACGGUACCUGCAGAAUAAGCACCGGCUGACUACGUG
rnacentral:rRNA from 1 species